AUUGAACGCUGGCGGCGUGCUUAACACAUGCAAGCCGAACGGUGAAGCCAAGCUUGCUUGGUGGAUCAGUGGCGAACGGGUGAGUAACACGUGAGCAACCUGCCCUGGACUCUGGGAUAAGCGCUGGAAACGGUGUCUAAUACUGGAUAUGAGCUCCUUCCGCAUGGUGGGGGUUGGAAAGAUUUUUCGGUCUGGGAUGGGCUCGCGACCUAUCAGCGUGUUGGUGAGGUAAUGGUUCACCAAGGCGUCGACGGGUAGCCGGCCUGAGAGGGGGACCGGCCACACUGGGACUGAGACACGGCCCAGACUCCUACGGGGGGCAGCAGUGGGGAAUAUUGCACAAUGGGCGGAAGCCUGAUGCGGCAACGCCGCGUGAGGGAUGACGGCCUUCGGGUUGUAAACCUCUUUUAGCAGGGAAGAAGCUUUUGUGACGGUACCUGCAGAAAAAGCGCCGGCUAACUACGUGCCAGCCGCCGCCGUAA
rnacentral:rRNA from 1 species